UACGGAGGGUGCAAGCGUUAUCCGGAUUCAAUGGGUUUAAAGGGUGCGUAGGUGGGCAGGUAAGUCAGUGGUGAAAUCUUUGGGCUUAACCCGAAAACUGCCAUUGAUACUAUUUGUCUUGGAUAUUGUGGAGGUCAGCGGAAUAUGUCAUGUAGCGGUGAAAUGCUUAGAUAUGACAUAGAACACCAAUUGCGAAGGCAGCUGGCUACACAUAUAUUGACACUGAUGCACGAAAGCGUGGGGAUCAAACAGG
rnacentral:rRNA from 1 species